GUGGGGAAUAUUGGACAAUGGGCGCAAGCCUGAUCCAGCCAUGCCGCGUGAGUGAUGAAGGCCUUAGGGUUGUAAAGCUCUUUCGUCAGGGAAGAUAAUGACGGUACCUGAAGAAGAAGCCCCGGCUAACUUCGUGCCAGCAGCCGCGGUAAUACGAAGGGGGCUAGCGUUGCUCGGAAUCACUGGGCGUAAAGCGCACGUAGGCGGCUUUCUAAGUCAGGGGUGAAAUCCUGGAGCUCAACUCCAGAACUGCCUUUGAUACUGGAGAGCUUGAGUUCGGGAGAGGUGAGUGGAACUGCGAGUGUAGAGGUGAAAUUCGUAGAUAUUCGCAAGAACACCAGUGGCGAAGGCGGCUCACUGGCCCGAUACUGACGCUGAGGUGCGAAAGCGUGGGGAGCAAACAGGAUUAGAAACCCCUGUAGUCC
rnacentral:rRNA from 1 species